AUGUCAAUAGAACUAAUGGAAAAGGUGGACCAGAUUUUACAUGGAAGCAACCAAUCGAAAGAUAUACCAUCAAAUCAUGAACAAGCUGAGAAACAAGCAGAGAAACAGCCAGUUAAAUGCAACAAUGAGAAUGUUGUCCAAGCAAAAGGAAUAAGGAGAAAAGAAAAAGGAAAUAGCAGUAAGAGGAUUAAAUCUGGAUUGGAACUAAACAAAAAGAAUACACACAAGAAAGGUCAAGCAACAACAUGCAAGAAUAGGAAUGGUGAUUGUGCUUCUGCCUCAACUGAAGCAAAUCCUAGCUUCACCAUGUCAAAUCAGUACUCCAACUUGCAAGUACUGCAGAGUGCCAUGCCUCUAGUACCACAUGCUACGAACUACAGUUUGCAAGUAUCAUCGCACGCUAUGCCUCCACUACCACAUGAUGCGAACUACAGUUCGCAAGUAUUGUCGCACGCUAUCCCUCCGAACCCACAAGCUACGAACUACAAUUCGCAAGUAUUUCCGCGCGCUAUGCCUCCGCACCCACAAGCUACAAACUCCAAUUUGCAAGUAUUGCCGCAUGCUAUGCCUCCGCAACCACAGGCAGAAAACUACAAUUUGCAUCUACUUCCUCAGACUAUGACACCAGUGCCACAGCCACAGAAUUAUAAUUUGCAAGUACUGCAUCACGGCCUGCCUCAACUACCGCAGGCAGAUGCUACUUCUUUUCAGCAGUUACUCGGCUUGCAACCACAGCAACCAUAUUUCUAUUAUGGCACUCAACCAAGUCAGAGUUCUGUAUUGAUACCGAACUCGGAAUGGCCAGCAUAUCAAAAUGACCAGCUGCCGACUAAGGACUUGGGUAGCCAAUCAAGCCAUGGACAAGAUGGCACUUUUAAAUAG
rnacentral:rRNA from 1 species